rnacentral:rRNA from 1 species
UACGAAGGGUGCAAGCGUUAAUCGGAAUUACUGGGCGUAAAGGGCGCGUAGGCGGCCGAUCAAGUCAGGCGUGAAAUUCCCGGGCUCAACCUGGGGGCUGCGCUUGAUACUGAUUGGCUUGAAUGCGGGAGAGGAUAGUGGAAUUCCCAGUGUAGAGGUGAAAUUCGUAGAUAUUGGGAAGAACACCGGUGGCGAAGGCGGCUAUCUGGCCCGUAAUUGACGCUGAGGCGCGAAAGCGUGGGGAGCAAACAGG